rnacentral:rRNA from 1 species
UUGACCUCAAAUCAGGCGGGACUACCCGCUGAACUUAAGCAUAUCAAUAAGCGGAGGAAAAGAAACUAACAAGGAUUCCCCUAGUAACUGCGAGUGAAGCGGGAUGAGCUCAAAUUUAAAAUCUGGCGUCUUCGGCGUCCGAGUUGUAAUUUAGAGAAGCGUUUUCCGCGCCGGACCGUGUACAAGUCUCCUGGAACGGAGCGUCAUAGAGGGUGAGAAUCCCGUCUUUGACACGGACCCCCGGUGCUCUGUGAUACGCUCUCGAAGAGUCGAGUUGUUUGGGAAUGCAGCUCAAAAUGGGUGGUGAACUCCAUCUAAAGCUAAAUAUUGGCGAGAGACCGAUAGCGAACAAGUACCGUGAGGGAAAGAUGAAAAGCACUUUGGAAAGAGAGUGAAACAGUACGUGAAAUUGUUGAAAGGGAAACGCUUGAAGUCAGUCGCGUCCGCCAGGAUUCAGCCUCACGGUGUACUUUCUGGUGGACGGGCCAGCAUCACUUUCAAUCAUCGGAAAAGGUCGAGGGGAAUGUGGCACCUUCGGGUGUGUUAUAGCCCCUUGUCGUAUACGGUGACUGGGAGUGAGGACCGCCUUUUGUAGGAUGCUGGCGUAAUGGCUUUAAACGACCCGUCUUGAAACACGGACCAAGGAGUCUAACAUGCCCGCGAGUGUUCGGGUGGAAAACCCGUGCGCGUAAUGAAAGUGAAAGUUGGGAAGGCUGUCGCGGCCUGCACCGACGCCCGGACUUGAGAUUUAUC